rnacentral:rRNA from 1 species
UUGUUACGAGACCGAUAGCGAACAAGUACCGUGAGGNAAAGUUGAAAAGAACUUUGAAGAGAGAGUUCAAGAGUACGUGAAACCGUUCAGGGGUAAACCUGUGAAACCCAAAAGAUCGAAUGAGGAGAUUCAUCGUCAGCGUAAUCAGUAUUAAUGCAGGCUAUGAUGUGAUAAUAGAAUCCUCGUGGUCACUAGAUUAUACUUGCUUGUNUUAUUUUUGCUGGGUGUGUCGGCGUGCACUUCUCCUCUAGUAGAACGUCGCAACCCGUUGGAUGUUUAUCUAUGGCCUGAUUGGUAGCCUUUGAUAUAAUUUUAUAUUGAAGACCUUUNGNNGNCCUGA